GACGAACGCUGGCGGCGUGCUUAACACAUGCAAGUCGAACGGAAAGGCCCAGCUUGCUGGGUACUCGAGUGGCGAACGGGUGAGUAACACGUGGGUGAUCUGCCCUGGACUCUGGGAUAAGUCUGGGAAACUGGGUCUAAUACCGGAUAUGACCUUACAUCGCAUGGUGUUUGGUGGAAAGCUUUUGCGGUUCAGGAUGGGCCCGCGGCCUAUCAGCUUGUUGGUGGGGUAAUGGCCUACCAAGGCGACGACGGGUAGCCGACCUGAGAGGGUGAUCGGCCACACUGGGACUGAGACACGGCCCAGACUCCUACGGGAGGCAGCAGUGGGGAAUAUUGCACAAUGGGCGCAAGCCUGAUGCAGCGACGCCGCGUGAGGGAUGACGGCCUUCGGGUUGUAAACCUCUUUCACCAGGGACGAAGCGUGAGUGACGGUACCUGGAGAAGAAGCACCGGCCAACUACGUG
rnacentral:rRNA from 1 species